rnacentral:lncRNA from 1 species
UAAUUUCUCGUGAAGCCGGCAAGUUCACAAUCUGGCUUAUUCCCGCGCUAUUCGCUUAUGCCACUCUUCAGCCGUUCAUUAGAUACUUUCAGACACAAAGUUUAAUAAUUCCUAUGCUCAUAAGCUCGUGUUCGACGCUUCUGUUCCAUAUUCCUCUGUGUUGGCUUCUAGUAUUCAAGUCUGGACUCAACAACCUUGGAGGAGCAUUAGCAAUCAGUAUUUCAUAUUGGGUGAAUGUGAUUCUACUUGCAUUAUACAUGAAGUUUUCUGCUGCCUGUUCCAAAACCCGAGCUCCAAUUUCUGUGGAGAUCUUCCAUGGAAUCGGAGAGUUCUUUCGCUUUGCCAUCCCUUCUGCAAUAAUGAUAUGGUAGUCAGUUUAUUUUUUGCAUGCUAGUCUCAAGAAGACGUUUCGCUAUGCUGGAUUCUUACAAUAUUUUAUUUUAAACGUCAUUUCUUUAUUUGAUUGAUUUUUAUUGAUGGUUGUAGCCUUGAGUGGUGGUCAUUUGAGCUGCUUAUCUUGCUGUCUGGACUUUUACCAAAUCCGGCUCUUGAAACUUCAGUUCUGUCUGUAUGGUAUAUAUUCUGUAUAAUAAAAUAAAUUUGCCAGUUUGAUCACCAUGUAGGAAAAAGUGCGUAUUCUAACUGAUUGUUGUUGACAGUCUGCAGACGAUUUCGACGCUCUAUGGAAUACCUUAUGGGUUUGGUGCCGCAGCAAGGUAUGCUCAAGCACAUUAUACCAUCAGAUUACAUAUUUAUAGGAAAAAAAAUCAGUUUCUUUUUCUUUCUUUGCUUAUUGUGCAGUACUAGAGUUUCAAAUGAACUAGGAGCUGGUAACCCACAAGGUGCUCGAAUUGCUACUUUUGCUGCGAUGUUUCUUGCAGUCACAGAGGCAAGUAUAAUAACCACGACCCUCUUUGCCUGCCGGAAUGUAUUUGGUUACACUUUUAGCAAUGAGAAAGAAGUCAUCGACUAUGUCACAACCAUGGCUCCUCUAGUUUGCCUGUCUGUUACCCUAGACAGUUUGCAAGGGGUCCUUUCAGGUUUGUUUCUUUGUCUUCUCCUAUUAGCAAUAAACGAUUGAGUUCUUUCAUGUUUCAGUCUAGUGUUAUGUGUUUUGUGAAUGGUUAAACCAGGUAUUGCUAGAGGAACUGGGUGGCAGCAUAUAGGGGCUUACAUAAACCUCGGAGCGUUUUAUCUUUGUGGGAUUCCAGUUGCAGCCACAUUGGCUUUCUGGGUACAGCUGAGAGGAAGGGGCCUUUGGAUUGGAAUACAAGUUGGUGCUUUUGUGCAAACCAUGAUGCUCUCCUUAGUAACAAGUUGUACAAAUUGGGAAAAGCAGGUAUAUAACUCAACCCUAACUUCUUGACAAUGCUGAUCUUCUCCAAUUGCUUCAACGAUUCCGCUAUUUUCUGUUUGGUUGGCAAGAAUUUGGGAGGGAAGAUGAAGAACAUUUCUUAUCUUAUGACUACCAUUCUAAUCCAUUUGCUUAAACUGUCCCAAGAUGUUUUAUUUUUCGUCAAACUCCCCACAGCUUUGGUUUAUCCUUGGUUUUUCUUAGCACUUAAACAGAACACCUAUCCAAAACUAAUGUUUCUGAGAGGAUUUUGAUGUUGGUCUUUUGAUGUUUCAGGCAAGUAUGGCAAGGGAGAGGAUAUUUGAGGGAAGCCCCCCACAAGUUAAUGGCUUGUGUGACAAGGCAGAGAGUAACGAGUUUUGAUUAGCACAAUUCCCUUUAUCGCGGGAAUAAGGAGAAAGUAUUAGGUUUAUCCGUACUUUUGGCACCCAAAAAAAUUGUAUUAACACAUUCGAUUCGAAUAUGAUUCAUGCAUAUAAACUUGUGGCAUUCGGUCUUGACUACAAUCAAGUGAGAUAGACGUUCUCGAAUGCAAUAUGGUGUCCUGAAUCUCCUAAUAGCUUGCCUCCCAGUUGCUGCACAAAAUUUUAUUUUUAAAAAGCCCGAAUCCAAAACGACGUCAUUUUGGACAAUUUUUUUCAUAAAAUUCAUGGCUUUAUGAUGUGAAUAGAGAAAUAAUAAUAACAGUCAAAUAUUUGAUUCCUUGGCUUGCUUGCUUGAUUGUUAAAAAAACGUUCGUGUAGGAGAAUUCAGUUAGAAUUCUAUUGGGCUCGAUCUUGUAAAUUCCUGUGGGUUUUGAAUUACUUGUACUCUUUAAGUGAUAGACUAGUAAAUAAAAUAUUGUACCUUGUGUUAUCAAUAUAAUUCACUUAAUUAUUAUAAUUCUACAUGGCAUCAAUCAUUUAGGUUUCUUUUUUUUUUCCUGGUUUCAACCCUAGCCCUGGCCGUUCCCACACAAACACAAAACUAUAUAUCUUUAUAUACUAAAACCCAAUCAGGUGGUACUGUGGAUGACCAGUGGGCGGACUGUUUUGCCCCUCCGUUUUAUAUCGAUUUCCCUUGCUGCUCCCCGCGUCCUCAUCGUGCAACUUUUCGUUGGAUUUUCUUCCUCCUAUAGUGUUGUACACGUGUUGCUCAUAGUGGAAGGGAAGAAACAUGGAAAAGCGGGCUCUUCCAUUUGCUUCCACAGAUUUCUCGAGCUCUCUCUCAAGCUCCGAAUCGCUGGCCUCUGCAAGAAGGUAUUUGUCUCUCACUUUUUUUUUUUCAAUUCGAAUUUUGUUUGAAUGAAUGUUGGAUCUGUUGCCUUCGGGAAGAAAUUUUAACCUAGAAAAGCUUGAUUUUCAGGAAAUCGCCAAUUCGAAAGCUUGGGUUUCCUGGUGAGUUCUACGACAUAUUUGUUGAAAUUUUUGUGAUUUUAAUUUUAAAAAUCUGGGUUUUUUUGUUCAAUGGUUUGCUCCAUCUUAUUAGCUUUCUCGCUAGAGAUCUCUGCCAUGGCUGCUCCACCAAACUGGCGUCCGCUCUUUCGAACCAGGUACGACUUCUUUCGUUUUCUUUUGUUUCCGGGAAAAUUUAGGGCUCGAAAAUGUGUAGAAUUGUAGAAGUUAAAGCCUGUCUCAAUCUCUAUGUUGGUCUAUACACAAUGAAAUUGAAUUUUGUGUUUCAGCAUACCCUUACUGGAAUUUUAUGAUUUGGGAUAGUGGCGAUUUGAAACCGUUAACUGGGAUGAGAAUUAGAGUGAUUUGAAAACGAAGAGCAAGGAAUUGCAGGUGGGUAGUGAUAAAUGAUAAUGGUGGGGAUACUAUGAUGAUAACACAAAUUCACUAUUUUGCAGAGUUUUGAAAGUUGAUUUCUUUCUUUUUUCAUUUUGAUUUUUGAUUUUUGUAUUUUUGAACAGGUGGUGUUCUGGUUUUUCAUUCCUUCUCAUCACUUCUACAAGAAGUUAGUUUUCUUUUCUGCAUUUAAAGAGUGUCUAAAGAAAAAUUGUAUGUGAUGAUUUUCUGCUAUAAUGUUUUGAAAUUCCUUAUUUUACUUGAAUGUAUUAGUGCUUGCUUUUGCUUUCACCCAGGUAUCAAAUUCGGUUUUGUUUGUAUGGUAACAUGGAUUGCUCAGGUUACGUAGGAGAGGAUGGAGGUGAGAAAUACAAUUGGGAAAGAUAUGCUGAGAGGUUUACAAAACACCUUUGAAGCUGUCGGUGAGGAUUCUUCUGUUUAAAAGUAGGAAUUUUUUAAUUUUUUGUGGAAUCGAUGUUUUGUUUUUUACUGAGUUUAUAAAGGAUUGCUUGGACAAGUACAGGGUGUUUGGGAUUGAAAGGUUGGGAAAGGCCACAUAUGGGUUCAGAGAGAAUAUGUUUUUUUUUAAUCUCUAUACAUGUAAUUCCCUCUACAUUAGAGGAUAUUUUUCAUAUUAUUUUGCACAUAAUUUUAUUGAAGGGUUUGUGUAUAAAGGUUUCAUUAAUGGGGAUUUCUAUGCAAUGACUGCUUGGGAUUGAAAGGUUGUUCCAGCGUUUAUUUUAAACUUACUGCAAUGACUGUUUGCAAAUUUACAAAAUUUGUGUUAAAUUUCAGUAGCUUGAAUGGAAGACGCAAUUCCAACACCUAUCAAUCAGGUACAACCGUAUAAAAAGGCAACAAAGAUUAAAGUCCACGUGUGUAGAAUGUGGAGACCGAGAAUUUCAGGAACGACUGAUAAAAUUACAAGUCUGCACUGUAUACUGGUUGACAAAAGGUGAGCAAUCAUUAUGUAAUGAUUUUAAUUAAUAAACCAUUAGUUUUGCCCAUUGAAAAUUGUCGGAAUAAGUUAAAGGUAAGGGUCACCAAAUCAUACUAUUUUCGUUGCUAUUUAUUUCCUUGCUGAACAUGAUGAAGUGAAUCUCUUCAUUUGCAUUCUUGCAUUUAAAUUUGCAUGUCAAUUUAUGGUAAAUAAUAUUCAAUUUUCAUUGUCUUAGAUUCUACUGAGUUGCAGUUUUAUCAUCUAUUUAUAAAACCCAUUUAGACUCACAAUUUUUUUGUAUGGUAAAACAUAAAUUGAAACAUUAUGUAUAUCCAAGAUUGAAGAAGAAAUUUAAGUUAAAUUAGAUGGACAUCCAAUACUAGGGGUGAUGUUGUCAGGGUUGUAACCAUAUCAGUAGUUGAUUUUAUAAAUAAAGUGAAAUACAAGACUAACCCAACAUGUAUCAUAAAAUAAUGUAGAACUACUUUUUUCUCUCUCUCGGUACUCAACAUAUCAUUCCUCACUUGGCCAAAAAUGAUAGAUUAUCCCUCAUGAUGUGCUUUCCAUGUUUGAAUAUUUUGUUCAUUCAGUGUCAAGUGUUUUCUUUUUGUGUAUAAGAAUAUCUCAGGUACUCGUUGUUUUUUCUUUCCUGUAGGUGGUACAAUAGUUCUAUCCGAUGAUGGUUGCUAUUUUUCAAAGGAUGCUGUGGAAUUUCAAGAUUGAAAACCGCUGGCUUUCAAUCUUUUAAAACAAAUUACCUUUGUAAGGUAUCAAAACUGUAAUUUUUCUAUAGCAAAUAAUAUUUUUUCCUUCACUAUGGUAAUUUUGUUUAGAUUAAUUAAUGUUACGCUGAUACUAACUCAAAUUUAUACACUGCUAUAAGAUCAAUUUGUAAUCCCGCAGCAACGCGCGGGCAUUACUAGCUAGUAUUAACUAUUAUAAUAAUUUUGGGUACUCUAGCCUCACACCUCAAGCUUAUCGCCUAAACGAGAUUAUUCAUAAAACGCCGUGAUUUCACUUUUGCCUUUUAAAACAUUGAACUUAUCCACAAUAAAUGAUGAAAAUUCAUGCAUCCAAUACAACGAUUACUUCUUUCCUCUAUACAGAAAAUUAACGUGUACAACAUGAUUUUUUUUUUUUGUUCAUAUGGGUGUUGAAUAGAAGCGCAACUUACCAAUAGACUGAAAACAGUGACAGAAGCAAAUGAAGAGGCCAUGGAAACACUGGAGAGUGCCAACAAACGUGACUGAUGUGACCUGUAAGCUGUACUGCAACAAGCUCACUGCAAGCAAAGGCCCCGCCAGCCAUAGCUGCAAUUUUGCUUCUUCAAUAACAUCCUCACCUAUACAAAUUCCUCUUUGAGAUGGUAUUGCUCCACCAUCAAAUUCUUGAUGGUCUGGAAUUAAGGGAGUCUCAACGCUUGAGCUCACUUCUACAUUUUUCACAAAAUUAGCACCUUUGCCACUUGAAUCUGAUUGUUUUUUUUUAUUAUUAUUGCUGCUAACCACACAGAGAGAGAAUCCAUCCAAAAUGUAUAAAAAAUUAGUGAGAAUAGAAAAUAACAAAAGACAAAAUAUAUGAGGGCUGGGUAACAUGAUAGAGGAGAACUUCCAAAAGUCUCACUGUCUGUCACUCGUCAAGGAUUUAUUUAUUUAUUUAUUUAUUUUUUAUUUUUUUGGUUGGAAGCAUGAAUUAUUCCACAACUUUGAAUGGUAGGGUCAAUUUCCAAUGGGCUAAAGACAUUUCGACUCAUUUCUAGCCACGGUCAAAUUGUACACGUCCUUUCAAAAUUUUCAACUACAGAUUCAUCUAUGUUUUUGUUCUUUCACUUGUUAACUCAACUCACCCAUAGACCCAUCGAUAAUAUUUUAUUGUGGUUGCAUAUUUUGUCAUUAAAGAUCAUAACGGGCAUUCUAUUGUUGCUAGGAUGCACAAUCUUGAGAGAAUACCACAUCUAUUACUAAAGCACUUACCUUACGUGAUGUGAAAUUUGCAAAAGUCAAAUAUUUUAAGGGUGUCUGUGCUAAGAUGACUCAACCCAUUAUUGAUUCCAUUUUAAACAAAUGCAGAAACGUCAUAGUGUGUGAAGACUAUUAUUGAGGACAUCAAAUUACUUGCACGAUCAUUUUCUUCUAUACCUUGGGCUCAUGUCUUCUGAAAUGUUAACUUUCUUGCUGAUGUCAUUUCUAACUAUGGACACUCCAUUCAUGAUACUUGUUUACCCAAUAUUGCUAAAAAAAAGUUUUUCUUUUUUAUUGUACAGGAAACAUUUGUAGUCCAGAUUUUUAUUUUUGAAUAAAUUUAUUUUUCCAUAAAAGGUCGUACCCAGUGCACAAGGCUUCCGUUUUACGCAGGGUCUGGGAGAGGUGAAUGUCGGCUAGCCUUACCCCCAUUUAUGGAGAGGUUGCUCCCAAUAAAAAAGAAGGUUUACAGGGAGGAGAGGUUACCCCAUUCCAGCGCCAGGCCGCAAGCCUCUUUGAAGACCUACAUAUGAGGUAUUAGCGCUUUUUUUUUUUUUUACCAACUCAACCAACCUUUGUUAGCCCUAAUAAAUUUUUAGUUUCUUAUGUUCUUUCCUUUCUUUAAGGUUGACAAGUAAAGAUUGUUCAUAUUGAUCUUUUUCCUUGCUGUCAUAUUAGUCGUAUACUGCCAUUCUACUCGGAGUCAAGAGAAAAAUGAAACUUUUGACCUCUGUUCUUGAAAAAGGUAUAAAAUUUCUCCUCCUCUCCCUCCGCAAUCCGCAUGCACACACACACACACAUAUAUAUUCCAAAUCCAAACCUCCAACGUAUUAGGCGACUACUCAUUGAUUGAGCUCAACGCUUCCACAGCAGACGUCGCCAUGGAAGAGAGCUUGCUAUUACCAAAACGCAGAGAAGAUGAGCAGCAACAGAGAAGAAAUAGCACUACAAGUAUUCUGACAUGGACUUCUUUCUUCGAAGAAGUGAAGAGGUUGGGAUGCAUAGCGGGACCAAUGGUUGCCGUGAUUCUAUCUCAGAGCUUGUUGCUGGUCAUUUCGAUGAUGAUGGUCGGCCACCUGGGCGAGCUCGCUCUCUCAAGCUCCUCCAUCGCCAUCUCCCUCUCCAACGUCACCGGCUUCAGUCUUUUCGUAAGUCUUUCUUUCUUCAUUCGUAUCUUUUGGAAGGACUGUUCAACUGUCUUGUUUGCUAUGUGUCUGUACAAAUGGCAAUGAAGCAUCCAAUCGUUUUUUCUCUUUUGAAUCAAGAAUACAUUGUUUUUCAAAAUGCGAGAUUCUAAACUACUAUAAUUUGUGUGAGGAAGAGAUGGGUGCAAAAGAUCUUAAUCAAACACACGCUCGUAACGGACAAAAUUAAGCACAAACCAAACCAGCAUAGUAGAUUAUAUUUACUUCUCGUAUGAUUGUACUUGAAUAUGUGCUCUAAUUCAUACCCAGUUGCAUUGGCAGUUUUAAUUUUUUGUAUUUGGUUGCAAUUUUGCUAUAUAUUUAAGGUUUUUUUUCAGCCAAAAUGGUAUCUGAGAUUGACAUAACAUUUUAUUUUGAUCAUUGAGCUUUAAAAUCGAUAGAAUUAGUCUCUCAAUUUGUCCACCAUCAAUCAUUUUGUGAAGAAAAACUAUAUUAAAUAAGGAUAAAAUGAUAAAAAUACACUCAUUAUUUGUCAAAUCAUUUUUGCCUAUUGUUAAUUAAAUUAAUAGUAUUUUUGUCAUUUUGGUCCUUAUUUAACUGAGUUUUUUUUUUCUUUAGAAUAACUAAAAUUAUUGAUGAUGGACAAACUCACGGACCACUACUAUCGAUUUCAAAUAUAAGGACUUAAAAUUAUGUCAAUCGCAUCAACCAUUUUUGCUAAAAUGUCUAUAUUUAAUCAGAGCAAGAUACUUUCUGACGAGUACGAAUACGACACCAAUCUGGGGUCAGCUAAUCACUGAUUAUAUUAAGUAAAGUAUGCGAGUUUAAUUGGACUCUGCUGCUGUUACCUGCUGGGGCAUCUUUGCUAAAUGACAACAGUGGCACAUUCAGAUUAAUCUGUCUUCUCAUAACUAUUUUGUCCACUGUAAAUGCUUCCUGUGCAAACAUUAUCCACAAACCAUGUAGAAAUUAAAUCUGUGUGCACUGUGGGUUUGUAAAAAGACUACAGAUGUGAGGAUGCUAUGAUUUAUAUCAUGAAGUUACGUACUUAGUGAUUAAGAAACAAAUUGAUGAUGAUUAAGUACGAAUUUCGGGGUAGAUGUAGUGUUAAUAACGAAAUAAUGACGAGUUCCUAUAUAGAUUUCUGUCCAAAAACUAAGUGGAUUUUGUAACUUGCUGUUUAAACAGUUGGGAAUGGCUAGUGCAUUGGAAACUCUGUGUGGCCAAGCAUAUGGAGCAGAACAAUAUCAGAAACUUGGACUUCAAACUUACACUGCUAUAUUUUCUCUCAACUUAGUCUGUCUUCCUUUAUCUUUGAUAUGGAUUUAUAUGGAGAAGUUACUGAUUUUCAUGGGUCAAGACCCUGUAAUUUCUCAUGAAGCCGGCAAGUUCACAAUCUGGCUUAUUCCCGCGCUUUUCGCUUAUGCUACUCUUCAGCCACUCAUUAGAUACUUUCAGACACAAAGUUUAAUAACUCCUAUGCUCAUAAGCUCGUGUGUGACCCUUGUGUUCCAUAUUCCUCUGUGUUGGAUUCUAGUAUUCAAGUCUGGACUGAACAACCUUGGAGGAGCAUUAGCAAUCAGUAUUUCAUAUUGGGUGAAUGUGAUCCUACUUGCAUUGUACAUGAAGUUUUCUGCUGCCUGUUCAAAAACCCGAGUUCCAAUUUCUAUGGAGGUAUUCCAUGGAAUCAGAGAGUUCUUUCGCUUUGC